rnacentral:sRNA from 1 species
UGUUGCAAGACGGGAUUAGGGGGGCUGU